GACGAACGCUGGCGGCGUGCUUAACACAUGCAAGUCGAACGAAGAGCGACGGAAGCUUGCUUCUAUCAAUCCUAGUGGCGAACGGGUGAGUAACGCGUAAUCAACCUGCCCUUCAGAGGGGGACAACAGUUGGAAACGACUGCUAAUACCGCAUACGAUCUAACCUCGGCAUCGAGGAUAGAUGAAAGGUGGCCUCUACAUGUAAGCUAUCACUGAAGGAGGGGAUUGCGUCUGAUUAGCUAGUUGGAGGGGUAACGGCCCACCAAGGCGAUGAUCAGUAGCCGGUCUGAGAGGAUGAACGGCCACAUUGGGACUGAGACACGGCCCAGACUCCUACGGGAGGCAGCAGUGGGGAAUCUUCCGCAAUGGACGAAAGUCUGACGGAGCAACGCCGCGUGAGUGAUGACGGCCUUCGGGUUGUAAAGCUCUGUUAAUCGGGACGAAAGGCCUUCUUGCGAAUAGUGAGAAGGAUUGACGGUACCGGAAUAGAAAGCCACGGCUAACUACGUG
rnacentral:rRNA from 1 species